AUGGCAUCAACCAUGCCGUUCUCCGCUGGCCUUGUUUCCCUUGGGUUUCCGCCGCCGCAGCACCACAGCUGCAGGCUCCAGCGAUAUCAACGACCGUGCACUCUCAUUUCAUCAGCUAUAAGACAUGGUCAGGUUAAAGCUAUGGCUGGAGUGAGCAUGGAUGGCUUGGCACGGCCUCAAGCCCCGGUUGCAGUGGUCACCGGAGCAUCGAGGGGGAUUGGGCGAGCGAUAGCUGUGGCUCUUGGCAAAGCAGGGUGCAAGGUAGUUGUGAACUAUGCCAAGUCAGGCAUGGAAGCUGAAGAAGUGUGCAGAGAGAUCAUGGAGUCCGGUGGCACUGCCAUCUCCUUUUCAGCCGAUGUCUCCAUUGAAGCCGAGGUUGAAACCAUGAUGAGAGCGGCAAUUGAUACUUGGGGAACGCUGGACGUCCUGGUGAACAAUGCAGGGAUCACGCGAGAUGCUCUGCUAAUGCGGAUGAAGAAGGCGCAGUGGCAGGAAGUAGUGGACGUAAACCUUACCGGUGUUUACCUCUGUGCCCAGGCUGCGGCGGCAGUGAUGAUGAAGAGGAAGAAGGGAAGAAUCAUCAACAUCGCCUCAGUUGCCGGGAUGAUCGGCAACAUUGGCCAGGCCAACUACUGCGCCGCAAAGGCCGGGGUGAUUGGAUUGACCAAGGCCAUGGCCCGGGAAUACGGUGGCAGAAACAUAAAUGUGAAUGCAGUUUCCCCGGGCUGGGUCGCGUCUGACAUGACUGCAAAACUAGGCGACGACAUCGAGCGGAAGGCGCUCGAGACAAUACCAUUAGGACGAUUCGGCAAGCCAGAGGAGAUCGCUGGACUGGUGGAGUUCUUGGCUGUUCAUCCGGCUGCAAGCUACAUGACCGGGCAGGUGCUCCCAGUUGAUGGUGGCCUGUCCAUUUGA
rnacentral:rRNA from 1 species